ensembl:lncRNA
AAGUUCUCCAAGUUUCAAAUGGCACCCUAUUCCCUAUAUAGUGCACUAGUUUUGACCAGGGUCCAAUGUGGGCUCUGGUCAUAGGCGGUGCACUACAUAGGGAAUAGGGUGUCAUUUGGGACGUACAUAAGGUCUCGGGGUCAUUUGUGUAUAAGAUGAUUUAUACCUCUGGUGUGGGUGAAGGUGCCUGUGACUUCAGUUGGUGUUUUUUCCCAUCCUGCUUCACGGAGACACCUCUGCACUGAAAUGUAGUGAAAUGACAUACUGAUCAGUCUUUAUUAUACAAAGAAAUACUUGUUUGUAUUUAUUUUUGGCUCUUACUGCAGUUGAAAUAGGAAUAUGGGACUUCUGUCUCCCUUCUCCAAUAGGACAAUGUGAAAGAGGCUAUGAGAGCAUUUGCGUACGUGUCGCCUCUCGAUAUCUUGAAGAAAAAUAUUUUGUUAGGACUCGCCCAAGAUGCCUUAUGGAAGUAAUGUUAUGUACUUUGCUUGUAGACAUGGAUGCAACAUAGGGGAGAGAAAGAAAGCGCCAACAAUGUCCAACCAAAUGAACACUCUAGGAGUGAUCGUGAAAAACUAUAGGAAUUCCACUUUCUAGGAAUGAGAGAUUUGCUUUGGUACCGGGGUUGUUAUUUAAUGACUGUCUUAAAAAAUAUAUUUAUACUUGAAAGAAUAUCCCAAGAUGCAAAAGUACUUGUGUGUAUGUACGAGAGAAUAUCCCAAGAUGGACCGUAUGUGUGUCUUACGUAUGAGAGAGAGCUAGAGUAACGGAUAGCACUUAUUUAAAUUGGAAGUAAAAGGAAAGACCAUAUGAUUUGCAUCUAGGGAUAUUCUUUCAAGUAUCAGAAGAUUCUGAUGAGGAAUUAGGAAUCAAUUUUUGCAUAAUAUUUCAAUGAAUGUUUUGGCUCUGAAGAAACAAGAUUCCAGAUUAGUUAUGAACUCAUCAAAUUGUAAUAAUAUUUGUCGCACUUUGGUCUACUUUUUUCAGUGCAAUUAUUUUGUACAGUGUUAACUUCUUGAAGUCUGAAUGCCUUAAAAAAAACUGCCGCAUUUAUUUUCAAGGAAUGUUUUACCCACUGUAUGUACCGUAAAUAAACCAAAUUUUCUACAUGUUGGAAAGUAUAUUCUUC